UACGUAGGGUGCAAGCGUUAAUCGGAAUUACUGGGCGUAAAGCGUGCGCAGGCGGUUUUAUAAGACCGAUGUGAAAUCCCCGGGCUCAACCUGGGAACUGCAUUUGUGACUGUAGAGCUGGAGUGCGGCAGAGGGGGAUGGAAUUCCGCGUGUAGCAGUGAAAUGCGUAGAUAUCGGAAGGAACAUCAGUGGCGAAAGCGGCUUCCUGGACCAGUACCGACGUUCAGGCACGAAAGCGUGGGGAGCAAACAGG
rnacentral:rRNA from 1 species